CUAGCCCCUAAUUAAACUCACUCGUCUUUCCGCUUAAGAAGAAGAAGAUUUAAUGGCGGACAAAGCGAUUUCUCUGGACAGUAUCAAGGCCUUUUGGAACUCCCAGGUUCACAAUCCUGAUAAAUGGGAUCACAAUGUGAAAUUAGUUCGAGCCGCAGGCAUUUUUGCUGGAUCUAUUGUGUUGAUGCGCCAGUAUGGUGAUAUGAUGGGCAUUUGAGAGAUUUUGCAAGGAGUUUGAGCUUCUUGUUGAUAGGAUGGAUUAGUUGGAUGCUUGCUUGCUUGCUUGAUCCUUACGUGCCCCUCUAUUUACGAUCUUUGAAUUAAUCGUCUGAAUUCGUGGAAUCGAAGUACUUCAUCUGUAACAUUUAGAUCGCAGUGAUAGAAUUGGGGUUUUAUUUACAUCAAUGCAUUUUUUGUUAUAUAACAAGUCAUAUUAUGAUGAACUCUUUGGUGACUAAAGAUGAGUUGAUAUUCUGGUA